rnacentral:rRNA from 1 species
AUGAACGCUAGCGACAGGCCUAACACAUGCAAGUCGAGGGGCAGCACAAGGAGCAAUCUGAGGUGGCGACCGGCGCACGGGUGAGUAACACGUAUGCAACCUGACCUGUAAGCGGGGAAUAACCCGUUGAAAGACGGACUAAUACCGCAUAAUACUAAAUUACUGCAUGGUAAUUUAUUUAAACAUUUAUGGCUUACAGAUGGGCAUGCGCAUGAUUAGCUAGUUGGAGAGGUAACGGCUCCCCAAGGCAACGAUCAUUAGGGGUUCUGAGAGGAAGGUCCCCCACACUGGUACUGAGACACGGACCAGACUCCUACGGGAGGCAGCAGUGAGGAAUAUUGGUCAAUGGACGAGAGUCUGAACCAGCCAAGUCGCGUGCAGGAAGAAUGGUUACCCUAGUGGAUUGUAAACUGCUUUUGCAGGGGAAUAAAGUGCAUCACGUGUGAUGUUUUGUAUGUACUCUGCGAAUAAGGAUCGGCUAACUCCGUGCCAGCCGCAGC